UACAAAGGUAGAGACGGCAGGACUGGCAGCAACGUGGGACUUUGCCUCUACAGCACACUGUGAUUGCCUUCCAGUUGGGCCAGUUUGCAGGAAUUCAGGGAAGAGAGAUAUAAACUGUGCAUACCAGCAYUCUGCAGUGGGAGAAGUGAGAGAAACUAAGCUACAAUCCUGCAAGAUGGAGAGAAGGAAGUUUGAGCCUUCUCAGUGAACUUAAACUUUCCUGCCAUGGGAGGGUUGGUGGAAAAAG